GCUGGGAUAGCUCAGUGAGUAGAGUAUGAGAUUCUUAAGCUCAGGGUCAUGGGUUUGAGCCCCACCUUGGGCA